rnacentral:rRNA from 1 species
GAUGAACGCUGGCGGCGUGCUUACACAUGCAAGUCGAACGAAGCACUUUACCGGAUUUCUUCGGGAUGAAAGUUUUGUGACUGAGUGGCGGACGGGUGAGUAACGCGUGGGUAACCUGCCUCAUACAGGGGGAUAACAGUUAGAAAUGACUGCUAAUACCGCAUAAGACCACAGGAUUGCAUGAUCCGGUGGUAAAAACUCCGGUGGUAUGAGAUGGACCCGCGUCUGAUUAGGUAGUUGGUGGGGUAACGGCUCACCAAGCCGACGAUCAGUAGCCGACCUGAGAGGGUGACCGGCCACAUUGGGACUGAGACACGGCCCAAACUCCUACGGGAGGCAGCAGUGGGGAAUAUUGCACAAUGGGGGAAACCCUGAUGCAGCGACGCCGCGUGAGCGAUGAAGUAUUUCGGUAUGUAAAGCUCUAUCAGCAGGGAAGAAAAUGACGGUACCUGACUAAGAAGCACCGGCUAAAUACGUGCCAGCAGCCGCGGUAAUACGUAUGGUGCAAGCGUUAUCCGGAUUUACUGGGUGUAAAGGGAGCGUAGACGGAGAGGCAAGUCUGAUGUGAAAACCCGGGGCUCGACCCCGGGACUGCAUUGGAAACUGUUUUUCUAGAGU